rnacentral:rRNA from 1 species
GACGAACGCUGGCGGCGUGCUUAACACAUGCAAGUCGAACGGAAAGGCCCUGCUUUUGUGGGGUGCUCGAGUGGCGAACGGGUGAGUAACACGUGAGUAACCUGCCCUUGACUUUGGGAUAACUUCAGGAAACUGGGGCUAAUACCGGAUAGGAGCUCCUGCUGCAUGGUGGGGGUUGGAAAGUUUCGGCGGUUGGGGAUGGUCUCGCGGGUUAUCAGCUUGUUGGUGGGGUAGUGGCGGACGAAGGCUUUGACGGGUAGCCGGCCUGAGAGGGUGACCGGCCACAUUGGGACUGAGAGACGGCCCAGACUCCUACGGGAGGCAGCAGUGGGGAGUAUUGCACAAUGGGCGGAAGCCAGAGGCAGCGACGCCGCGUGCGGGAUGACGGCUUUCGGGUGGUAAACCGCUUUCGCCUGUGACGAAGAGUGAGUGACGGUAAUGGGUAAAGAAGCAACGGCUAACUACGUG